GGAGACAGAGGGAUGGCCUUGUGUUUACAGACGCGACCCAGACCCCCGAGCAGCUGUGAGAGAGAGAGAGAGAGACAGAGGAGAGAUUGUGCCGGGACGGAGAGACAGGGAUGCAGUUGCUAGGGAACAGCGAGGAGACGUCCAUCUUUUGCAGCUCGUUCCAGAUACAGCAAGGUUGGGAAAGGUUGGGGAACAAAUGCUCCGUAUGAAAGAGAGGAGACGGGAUUAGGUGCUGUGAUUUAUCAAACGCGUCUGACUGUCGGAUCUGUGCCUUGUUGUUUCUGGCCGAUGAUGAUGAUGAGGAUGAUGAUGAUGAUGAUGAUGAUGAUGAAGAUCCAGAGAGGCCGGGAAUCAUCCGCCCGCUUUGUCUGAGGAUCUACGGCUUCACAGAGACAGAUGUGAUGGAUUCAGCGCAGAGCUGAGAAAUCAACAGGCCUGGAGCUGAAACACACACACACACACACACACACACACACACACACACACACACACAGACCAACGCCUGCCGAGAGAAACGAGAUGCCGGCUCCAGAGUGACGGGACGUUCAGGAGAUAGAUGCUGAUUGUUCUGCUCUCUGAAGGGGCUUGUGUUUGACAGAGUGAUCGGAGCAGAGGAUGGGAACCACUGAAGCUACUCUACGCAUGGAGAACAUGGAGGUCAAAGACGAGUGGCAAGACGACGAUUUCCCACGGCCUCUUCCUGAAGACGGUGAUUUAGACGGACUCACUGACGACACGGCUCAUCACGCGGCUCUGACGGCGGACCACAUGGACUCUGUCCGACAGAAGCGGCGCACGCUCAUCGCUCCCGACAUCAACCUGUCUCUGGAUAAAAGCGAGGGUUCGCUGCUUUCUGACGACUUCCUGGAAACACCGGACGACCUGGACAUAAACGUGGACGACAUCGACACGCCGGACGACGACUCGCUCGGCUCCCUCAACAACGCCAACGAGCUGGAAUGGGAAGACGACACUCCGGUGGCGAGCGCGAAGGGUCCGGGCGGCGAGGAGGGCGACGGGGCCGGCCGUCUCUGGAGGACGGUGAUCAUCGGGGAUCAGGAGCACAGGAUAGACAUGCAGGUCAUCAGGCCGUACCUGCGCGUCGUCACGCACGGAGGUUAUUACGGUGAAGGUCUGAACGCCAUCAUCGUGUUCGCUGCAUGCUAUCUGCCCGACAGCGGCUGCACAGACUACAACUACAUCAUGGAGAACCUCUUCCUGUACGUGAUCAGCAGUCUGGAGCUGCUGGUGGCCGAGGACUAUAUGAUCAUCUAUCUGAACGGAGCCACGCCGCGCCGGAGGAUGCCCGGCAUCAGCUGGCUCAAGAGAUGCUACCAGAUGAUCGAGAGACGGCUGAGAAAGAAUCUGAAGAGCCUGAUCAUCGCGCAUCCCUCGUGGUUCAUCCGGACGGUCCUGGCCAUCUCGCGGCCCUUCAUCAGCGUGAAGUUCAUGGAGAAGAUCCGCUACGUGCAGAGUCUGGAGGAGCUGGCUCAGAUGGUCCCCAUGGAGCACGUGCAGAUCCCCGAGUGUGUGCUGCAAUGUGACGACGAGCGAAUCAAAGCACAGAGAGAAAGGCUUGAACAACUGGCCAAGACAUCAGAGAGACCGCCGUCCGUGGCAGCGGAGGCCUGUCCCUGAGGCGUCUCAUUGGAAUUCGGAGAACUCUCAGAAUCUCACAAUUCUGUGAUUUUUAAGAUACACCUCGAGGCAGGGAUUCAUCUGUGCAUGUCAUUUUCCAAAGAUGUUCCUUUAAAGAACAAUCAUGUGGACGAACGCAAUCGUCGUCAUCAUCUCGAAACACGACAACGGUGUUUGUGGACUUCUGUGUAAAGUGCGCGCUUGACCUUUGACCCGGAUCACAAGCGGGCCGAGUGAGAGCGAGCGAGAGCUAAAACGAGCGCCCGCAGACUCUUGUGUAACCGUCAUUGUGUUGUACAGAUGUGAAUUGUGGGAUGUCUAACGCCGGCGGGAUGUUCUAUCCGUGUUCGCCCGCCGACCGCUUCCACGACGAGAAACACGUUCGGUCUGUUACGUAACGCAACAGAGUACAGGUCUGACGUCAACAUGAAAUCACGUUCGACAAUCUGCUACGAAAACAACCGAGCACCAAAUAAUCAUUAAGUCAAAGUUCUGGGCAGGUCUUUUCUAAAAUCUCGUACGCGGUUGAAGAAAUAGCUUAUUAAAAAAUUCACUUUCGCAUUGAAGCCUGUUUCUACCACUAAAUUAAAUAGUUAUUGCGAGAUUAGUUAGCGCAAUAUACAGCUUCGCGAUUGCGAGAACAAAGUCUCAGCUACGGAUGAACUGUGGUGAAUGGGUGCCGUCGGGAAUGAGCUGAUAAACGCAUAUAAUCCACGCCUCUCCGGUCAAUCAGUUGACUUUUUUUUUUAAAAAACGAAUGUUUAUAAGAACAAAAUCCAUCAUUAAGGCAUUUUUAAGACUCGUUUACAAGCACAUAGCCCAUAACCGUUUAAGUUUAAGUGGUCUGGUCUGAAUCAGAAGAGAAAUCUGCACGGUUCGAGCAGUGUUUACAAGCCAGAACUGACCUAAACGGCUCUAACCAAAAGUUGAAGUAAAAAAAAAGGUUUUUUUUUCGGACUCUCGUUCUGACGGCACCCAUUCACCGCAGAGCGUCCGACGCCGGCGCGCUGGUGCGAUUCUCCAAAUCUGUUCCCAUGACGACACAAACUCAUUUUCUUUUCAGACCGAUUUCGGUCGAGCUGCUUCUUCAAUGCGGUGGUUCACAUGAGAGCGAGUUCACAGCAAUAAUAGCAAUUGUUUAUUAACAAAAAAAAGAAGCCCGGCCUUCGUGUCGACUUUUAUCCGAUUAAACGUACGGAGGAUGUGAAGGCUGUGUUCUCAUAAAGUGUGACACGCAGGCGGGUCAAGUGCGCUGGGACUCAUCGACUGGAAUAGACGUCUUUAAUAACCGCCGGGUGCUAUGUUUCCGAGCCGAAUGCUAGCAUACUGCGUGGUACGCACUGCAUACUUUAAACCGUAUGCGCUGCUGUCAAACAUUGCAUGUUUUAAUCGACUUCUCUCAUUCCGAUGCAGCUUCAUCUGACCUUCGGCGGUUCGAUCAAAUGAGUCAGCGAAGGUUGAUCGUGGUCGAUGUGGUUUACUUUUCAGUCGUCGCGCUAGAAACGAAAGGUCAAGUUGAGUGCGCUGCAUACAGUGUUCAUACAGUAAACGCAGAAGAUUCCGUGCAUACUGUAGAAGUAGUACCGUAGUGUGAUGUUCUUAACACAGCCGAAGCGUUUGGCACAGUGAGUCGCAUGAGUUCACUGCAAGUAUAUGUACAUAGACUCAUGUGCUUCCAACUUGCCAUUAUGACAUCACAGGAGGCGGAGCUUGUUUUCCCUCCCUUCAUGAUGCCUUAUGAGCACUCUUAUCUAUAAUCAGAUAGCGUUCUUAUAAUAAAACGCCUCAGCCGCUCUUCUAUUUGUCAGCUACAUCACUAAUAAUAACAUUUACUAAAGCGUUUGUUCAUUUUAAUUGGUACCGAACUUAAAAAAUGAAUAAAUGUUAUAUCACUAAAUGAAUAAUCGACUUGACAAUACAGAUAAAAUGAUUUUUUUUUUUUUUUAUUUAAAAAAUUUAAAUAUUUAAUUUGUCGUUUAAUUAUUUUUGGCCUUUAUUUGGUAUGUUCUUAAUUUAUUUUGUAACUGUAUUUUGGAUUUAUUUAUUUAUCGUAUUUUAAUUAAUUUAUUUUACUUUUUACAUUCAUUUAUUCCCACAUGUAAGGUCAAAAUAAGGUCAAUUUCGACAUUUACUAAUGCGCCAUUAAAACGGAUAUUGAAUAUUAAUUAUUCAUUGAAUAUUUAUUGCUCGUUUAUUAUAAGGUAAGUGGUUUUUAGCUGCAAAAAAAUUUAUUGAUCGCAACUGCUUACCUUUUAAAAAACUGUAGUAUAAUUUUCAAUUAUUAAUUAGCAAUAAACACGCCAUUUUAUUAAGCAGGCUAGCGGUAGGGCUGCUGGUUUUUGCAUUGACCCGCUGGAUUGACCAAUCAGCACGCGCCAGUGCUCAUAACUCAUAUUGAAGGGAUCCUUUCAGCCACAUUAUUGUAUAAUGUACAUUAUCAGACUGUUUAACAGCGUGCUGUGCGUGAAUCAUUUGUAUCAUAGGAUGUGCAAUAAGUGAACGAGUUGUGACAGUUAAUAAAAGUUCGACUUCACUGUAAAA